UACGAAGGGGGCUAGCGUUGCUCGGAAUUACUGGGCGUAAAGCGCACGUAGGCGGCUUCUUAAGUCGGUGGUGAAAUCCUGGAGCUCAACUCCAGAACUGCCUUCGAUACUGGGAGCUCGAGUCCGGGAGAGGUGAGUGGGAACUGCGAGUGUAGAGGUGAAAUUCGUAGAUAUUCGCAAGAACACCAGUGGCGAAGGCGGAGCUCACUGGCC
rnacentral:rRNA from 1 species